GACGAACGCUGGCGGCGUGCUUAACACAUGCAAGUCGAGCGGUAAGGCCCUUUGGGGGUACACGAGCGGCGAACGGGUGAGUAACACGUGAGUAAUCUGCCUUUGGCUUGGGAAUAACUUCGGGAAAUCGGGGCUAAUGCCUGAUGUUUACUGUCUGCUGCAUGGUGGGUGGUGGAAAGAUUUUUUGGCCAGGGAUGAGCUCGCGGUCUAUCAGCUUGUUGGCGGGGUAAUGGCUACCAAGGCUUUGACGGGUAGCCGGCCUGAGAGGGUGUUCGGCCACACUGGGGACUGAGACACGGCCCAGACUCCUACGGGAGGCAGCAGUGGGGAAUAUUGCGCAAUGGGCGUAAGCCUGACGCAGCGACGCCGCGUGGGGAUG
rnacentral:rRNA from 1 species